CAAGCAUGCCGGGGGAACCCCCAAGCUCCUGUGGGAUGCUCCAUCCGCCCCACCAUCACAGCAUUCAUGAGCCGCACCUGGUACCUUGAGGAAUUCCUCUGACUAGGAAAAGAAAUAACAUGCACAGGGAUGCCCCAAGGAAGAGGAUUUACUGUAGUCCAGUGACCAGUCUGCUUCUACAGCAGACAACACAUUUGCUUUGCUCCUUACCUUCAAACUGACCUAUUCAUCUGAUCACUGAGGACAAAAUGUUGCUUCAGGAGAAAAACUCUUUUAUGGAACAACACUCAGAUAAAGUCUUCAUAGAAGGUAAAUGACUAUGUGCAUGGAGUAUGGGUUUCUCCCAAUAAUAUAGCAUUGUGACCCAUACUAGCUUCAGUGGAAAUUGCAGGCAUCUAUAGAAGGCAGUCUAGACCCCAGCAUAUAUGCAGUAGGCUGAAGAGAAUGCUAAUAAGGUUUGCUGGUGUGAAUAAUUAUUUUGAGCAGCCAAACUUCAGUGAAUGCUGUCUUUGCUUGCUUCAUCUUCUGAAUUUUUCUUCCUUGCACAGAACAAUGGACAUAACUGCCCUUAUCUCUAUAGAGAACCCCUUGAAGAUGCAUCUGUGUCCCAAAUUAUUUGAACUCUGAUAUCAGGGCUUGUAUUGUGGAAUAAAAGGUUUUCCUAAUGAA